UGUCCAGGGAUGGGAAUCGAACCCACAGUGUUCCGCUUACCGGGCAGGUGCCAUGUCCACUAGGCUACCCUGGG